AGGGUGCACAGCCUUCACAGUGGGGCACCUGUCCCACUCCUUGACUGCCCUCAUGUGAAAAGUUUGUGUUGUAUAAGGAGGAUGUGCACAUAACCUAAGGAGGAUGUGUACAUGACCAGUCUGAACCUCUCUUGUUCCACAGGACGACCAUUGCUGCUCAUUCUCCUGCUGUGUUCCACUGCAAAAACCCAAGUCUGACUUCCCCAUCAAUUCCUUUCAAAAGCCUCCUGAGCACACCCAUGGUUGCUCACACUGCCCAGACAGCCCUCCCUUUCCUCUCUGCCAGAUGAUGGGCCCAUCUGCCCAACUCCCUUGAGACCAACUUUGUUUUCCCCCUUGGCUUUUUCAGAAGCUGUUUUUCAGACCAUUUCUGCUGGGGAAGAAGAGGAGAUCACAGAGGAACUGGUAACAUCACUUCUGUGAUGUUCCUCUCCCAGCUGACUCAGCUGUCUGGGAGAGAGCCUAGCAAUUAUCUCCAGUAGGCCUCUGCUCAUCUGAUUGACUUGCCUUUGCUUUCAUGCCUGGCACUUCAAACAUCAGGGACAGCGAGGCAGGGGGAAGAUUUUCCUAAUGGAAUGAAAAAAGUGCUCCCAAAAUUACAGCUGCCUCAUCUGGAAAGCAGAGCAUGUCUCAGCCUGCCCACUGCACUCAGCCUCCAGGUUAUCACCCACACGCCCAGGCCCAACAGCACCGGCAGUAAAAAAUCAUUUGUAAACAAUUAAUUGUGGAAGUGGAAGAGAUAGCACCCCCAUCAAUCACUGAAAGGCAGCAUGGAAUAUGACCUCAGAAGGUGAAAUCCACUCUUGGAGGUUCCUGUGAGGUGUGGAGAGGGAUGUGACACAUCCUCAAAAGCCUGGGAUCCUACUCUUGCCGCUGACUCCCAGCAUGUCCUUUAACGGGUUUGUGCCUCAGUUUCUCCACUGUUUCACCUGGCAAUGGCUGCCACUAUGCAGGAGGAGAGUAUCCAGCACAACAGCCCCUGGAUCUGCAGCUACCCAAAUAAAACAGGCCUGGUUCUGGUCGCUGGCAGUGGCCAUGGUACGGCCCACAUCCGAGGGGCAAGCCAAAAGCUCUCCUCAGAGCCAGGUGACUUCAUCCAUAUUGUCACACGGGAAGGUGUCCUGGCCUGCCUGUCCCCAUGGCUGGGCCAAGUCACUGGCCAGAGGGUGUUAACUGGGAGCGUGCUAGUGAUGGAAGAGGGCAGAGCACUGUGGCCAGUGCCCUGGCUCUCCCCGGCCUGGUGUAGAUAUGGGCACCAUGGCCCUCCUGGGGCAGUCUCUGCUCCCUGGGGUGAGCAGGAGGUUCCUGUCUGUCCCCGCUGUUCAGCUGCAGCUCAGGCUGCAGGUGUCCAACUUGGGCUCAGGAGGAGCUACGUGGAAAGCAGCUCUGAGGGAAAUGGUUUCAGCAUGGCUGUGUUCAGCCUCUCCCACACCACCUGGGCAUCUCUGUGGGAUGGUGGCUGCUCUCCAAGGGAAUUCCUGCUCUAGCAGAGUGCGGGUACUGCCUAGGAGAUGACAGCUGCUGCUGGGGCAGAGCCACACACCCACAUGCUGUCUGAAUAAUGAAAACAAAAAAUGCCUCGCUCCCACUGGAUGCUGUUUUAUUGCCUGACUGGUGGUUGCUGCCAUGUGAGUCACUUCCAGGGGAGGCCACAAGGCACUUCUGUUGCAAAAAGAAGAAAUGAUGCAGAGCCCGAGCUGCUGUGCACUUGGGAAAGCAGAUCAAUACAUGAUCAGCAGAUCAAUCACUGUCCUGGGCAAGGGAAUUCUAGCUGGAAAGGCUCUCCUGCUUUUUCUGGGUCAUUAGGAGAGCCCCCUAUUCUAAAGCAGGGCCUCCAUCUAACAACAGCGCUCUACUUGAUUAAUGCUGAUUAGCCCUGCUUUGCUUGGUACGUUGAUUAAAAAGCAAGGUUCAUUUCCCAGGUUUCCUUCCCAAUCACAUUCCCUAAUUUCUUUUGGCACUGCCACAACCUCUUAAUUCUUCAGUCCUUCAAGCAGCUCAUCAGACAAGGACGAUGCUGAGGCAGUAGCAGACAAAGGUCAGAUGUGGGUUAUAUCCAAAGGGAAGCUCUCUCCUGGGCUGUGUAGUGGGCUGGCUAGUGGCAUUGUCACCUUAAAAUGUUGCUCAUGACAACUGUGAAGGCAGAUAAAAACCCAUCACCACUCAGGAUGUUCCUACAUACUGUUCUCCUCAGACAUAUCUGCUUGAUUCCCAGCAACUGUAGAAGCAAAGGGCCCCAUAUUGCCUUUUCUUCAAAUUAUCAGCCAAAUUGCUGUAGAAAUGGCUUUAUGGCUUAGCCCAAUGGCUGGCCCACCCAGCUUGUUCAGUGGCUGCAGCAGAUGUGAAGAAAUCCAGGGAAUCAGGGCACAUACAAAGUGGUCUUGGCCCACUCUUCCCAUCUUUGGUGGUCUGUGAUUCAAGGGUCUUCAUCAGUUCAAAGCCAUACUCAGCUUAUGGGGUUUAACAUCCACCAAUGCAUUGUCAAUCACAAUCCAUGGAAGUGCAAAAGGGACUUGCUUUUAUCUGUAUCAAAUCUACUGCUUGCCUGCUUUCAGAAACACCUAGUUAAGAGGAAAGAGCAGCAAUCCUUCUCUCACAGCUCCCUACUGUCCAUGAUAUGAGAGGUCUCUGUCAUUGUCCCUUUAGGCAUUUCUUGUUCUAGCCAGGGGGUCCUCCCUUCACACAGAACCAAUUUUGAAGCUUAUUGGAAGUUGUUUCAAUAAAACAACCAGGGCUCAAGAAAACAAACAUCCCCAUUACUGCCUCUUUCACAAUAAGAAAGUGGAAAUCCAGAUUAAUCUUUAAAACACAACCAAGUAAAUAACAAUUUGAAGCAGAGAGCAAUGAGUUAAUCUCACAUCUGAAUAUUCACUGCUAUUAAGAUGAAGACUUGCCUCCUUCAGCUCUUAUGUAAAUAGAACUCAUCUGCGAUGCAGAUUUUAUUAAUUAACUGGCAAAUCGAGAAAACCCCAAUAGGCUGUAAUUGAACUUCGUGUUGAUGAUAGAUGAGGAGACACUCACAGGCCAUCAGCUGUGUCUGCACAGUCACUCCUGGAUCUGCUGCCAUCCCUGCCCAUCCUCACAGCAGAGGGGCUGCCCCAUCCUGAGCAAAAUGAAGAAUAUCUGAGGGGCAAACGCCUGGAGCUGAUGGGAUGCCUGGAGUUGAUGAGAUACCUGGCACAUAUUCUUCCUGAAGCACCCUCUGGCUCAUCACAUUGCUUUUGUUCAUAUUUUCUGCAGCACCCAGAUGCUCUCAGGAGGCAGGCAGUAGCUGCUGAAGCUCCAGCAGGAGUGAGGAUGCUCAUAGCUUUGAGGGGACAUAAUCACCCCUAACAUGAAGAGGAGACAUUUGUUGAUGCUGUGGCGAGCUGGUCUGCUCAGAUGUCACCAGGAGUCCCAGAGGAACAGUGAGGCAGCUGCAAGGAGCCCACCCUCAGAGCUGCUGAAGCCUGGGUUCUUCUCAGCGCGGGAAGAGGAAGUGGCAUUUGAGGCACUGAGAUGUGAGAAGAGUUUCAUUAUUGCUCUGGAUGGCCCCUUCAUUAGAGGAAAACACAGUAUUUAAUGAAGGGGAAAGAAAACUGGAGCUCCCUGCUGCGUCCAGAAAGCCAUCUCUUUUCAGCUUUGCUUCUCUCCCUUUAUUUAUGGGACUGAGGGAGGCUGGACCUGUCUAUUCCUGUAGCAGCCCAUCCUUGGGUCUCCAAGGGAUGCUCCAAGACCACGCAAGUGAAGAUCUCCCUGCAGACAGGGACCCAUGAGCACAGUCCCUUAUGGACUCCCCAGCUUUGUGAUAACUCUCUGUGCCCACACCCCGGUGGGCAGAGGCUGCUGGCCAUGGGUGCAGAUAUGGGAUACCAAGGUCUACCCCCCACCAACCACACCCAUACCCCCCAGGAACUCUACACCAGAAAUUUAGUGCCAUUAAGGAGAAACUGAGGCACAGGGGAUGUGUUACACACACCUAUACAGACCAUGCUUGAUUAAAAGGCAGAGGGCAUGCUUUCCCCAUGGCUUCCUUGCAAAGUGUGUUCAGAUUACCAGGGAAGGACUUGGUUUCUCAUGACUGGCUUAACAAACCCAACAUGGGAUUCACACAUCAAGCUAAUUCUUCCCAGCUGGCACCAAUUAUUUGCCAAGGUAGUUUUGAUCUCUCAAUUACACCCCAUGAAGUUUUCAGCAUGGAAAAGCAGAAUAUCUUUUCUUUCUCUUUCUCCUCUCCUAAUAAUUGGGGUUUUUUAUAGCAACAUGUCAACAGACAUCAGGAGUAGAACCGACUCACAUUCCCUUUGCUGGGACAACUCUAGCUCUGCUAGGAAUUGAGAUAAAAGGAAGCUUGCUUUCAUCCCAGCAUAAGCAGGCAAGAAGUGGAGCAUGAACAGAGAGAAGACAAGCAGAGAAGCAAGCACUGUGAUUUUAUUCUGAGUCUCUGCACCUAAAGCUGUCCUUAAUCACCACUCAUGACUCAUAGCCUUUUCUUUCACUGGGAGCUCCAGACAGGGUAAUUUGGUUUCAGAGGAGCAGAGGCACAUUGGCUGCAAGGGACCUCUGGAUGUCUCCCAUUCAACCACUCAUAAUUUGCUCUUGGAAUUUUCUUGGGUCCCCUCAUGACCUGUCCUGUUCCCAAAGUGAUGAGCUUUGAAUGUGUCCUGAGGUGAGAAAGCUUCCUGCAGCAGAGAACAUGUUGGAGGAAGAAGAGUUAGUUUCAACAGUUGCCUACUCUUUUGGCUGCUCUGGAAAAUUUCCCAGUCCCCUUCACCAAGUCAGCUGUGCCAGGAGAUGGACUCUGGGACCUGUGUGGGUCAGGGUUCUUGGAAGACAGCGGGAGGAGGGGAUCCAUAGGAUCUCAGGAAACUGAGAAAAACAAAAGGACAGGGGACAGAGCUUGCAGGAAGCAGAGAGGUUCAGGAUAAGGUCAGGAGCUGGAGAGGGGCUGUGUGAGUGAAGGCUGGAUAACCACAGACUCGGACCAUCAAGCCCAGCCAUCAUCUGACAUUAAUCAUUUUUUCCUGCUUGAUUCUCAGCUGCAGCUGGAAGCUGAACUGAGGUUUGACUGGAACCAGGAUCAGAAUCUGCCUGCUCUGCCUGCUUCAGAGACAAACUCCUUAAUCCUGGGCCUUCCUGCAUUAUUUACAGAGACCACAGCCCCUUUCACUACCAUCACCAAGACAUUCCAGUGAUUUCCAAGCAAAGGAACAAGUUUCCUGUAAAUUGCAUUUCCGGCAAGCAUCUCUGCUAAUUAAAGAUUAUGAAAUGAAUUUA